rnacentral:lncRNA from 1 species
ACAUCAUAGCUGGGGAACAGGGAUUCACAAGACCCAGGCUGUUCCCUACAUAUUUUUCCUCCUCAGACAUCAGUUCAUCAGUCAAUCAAGUCAUGUGAGAGUGGAGGCCAUGUAUUCCGUAUUCUUGGGCACUCUCCUCCAAGGAGGAAAAGGCCAGGAGGUCCUGUUAGAGGAUGCACUCUGAGAGGCCGGGCUCCCUAAGGUGUGAGAGUUCUAACCAGCAGGUGUAGACUUUUCAGGAGUGAGGAAUGAGGCAGGCAUUCCAAACCUGGAGCUUCAUCACCUUUUGUUUCAUCUCAAGACAAUUCUGAGGGGCUGUUUUGGAACGUGUCUGGAAGGUGAACGUUGAAGAAGAGUGUGGGCUUUGAUGUGACUCAGAUAAGAUCUUUCAUGGGGAGGCAGGAAUUUAAUGCCCAGAAUCUGGGCUGGUGUCUUUGAGGUCAGUGGGUUGCCUUUUUGUAUCCAAGUCCAUUGUUACUAGGUUGGAGGCUGGAGAUUCUAAAUGGCUUCCAGACCGCCUCUCUGAUUCUCUUUUGGAGAUGGGGUCUGAAAAAGACAAUGUCAGUAUUUUUGGGAAAUUCUGGAAAGUCUGUUUGGAAACCUGUGAAGACCUCUUGCCUAGUGCCUAAAUGCUCAAUGUGCAGCUCUAGCCACGUAGAUGUUUGGUAGGUAUAGAGCUGGGUUUGCAUUUAUAUCAGCAAAACCUAUGGCAGAGUUGAAGAAGUAAUCAGGACAAAGUGUCUUGGUCGCAGGCCAGAGAACAUCUUAAAAGCAAACUUCUAGCCUGCUGACUCUUGGCAAUGAGUGUUGGGUCCUGGCCAAAGUGCCUUGAAUGCAGCAUGAAGCCAAUCCAUAAAUCCAACUUCUAAUGGAGAAAUGUUAAUAUUUUUUCAGUUUGAAUCAAUCAGGGUGAAAUUACCAUGCUAUUGGUUUGUUUACUUUUUAUUAUUUCAUAUAAAAUCUAAGACAAAAUACAUUAAACGCUUAUUGACAUAUGUAUUUAUUCUUCACCUGGCUCAUAACAUUUGCCUAAUUUUAAACUUUCUUCUAUUAUGUAGGUUUCAACUUAUUUUAUUGUAAGAUAUUGUUAAAUCUAAUACAGGCAUUGUCACCUUUACAUGUAAUUUUAUUUUAUUUCAUAUAUUUCCUAUUCGCUUUCUACAUUUAAAUUAUGGACUGUUUCAUCAUAUAAAAAGCUUCAUUUCUAUUUUAAAAAUA